UCCCGCUCUCCUCUCUAUCCAUCGAGUAGGGAAAUGCCUCCUGGGGGCUCCUUUAUCCGUCGCCGUAUCUCUUUCGUGGGCUUUCCUUCUCGAGACCUCCGAUCGCGACUGAGCGAGAGGGGAAGCGGACGAGGAGGACGAUGAGCGAUCGAAGCGGUCCAUCAACGCGGUGAUCUAUUGGGUGGGUGAAGCCGCAGCCACCUGAGGUGGCGGUCUUCCUCUCAGUCGUCGCGGGGAUAGGGCGCUCGCCUUCCUCCGCUUCACGGUCCGCGAUUACGGCAACCUCUUUCGUCACCGUCGAGGCCGCCCACGCCCUCGGGCUCUCCGUCCUCAUCUAUUAGCUAACCGAGGCGCGAGCUUGCGCCGGUCUUGGAUACUGACGGCUAUUGACUGCUUUCGUCUAUGGUUCUUCUUGCUGAAAUCAUUCAAACCUUUGUUCCAGCAGAUUUUUGUUAUUAUUGUGGGAAGAGCCUUGUUGGUGGACAACUGGUGCUACGGCUUCCCUCUGUGUGAGGCCUGCAAUUACUGUGGACAGUCAUGUCAACAUUACUGAGAACUAUAAUCCUGGAAAUUGAAGCAGGGGGAGAGGCUUUGCGUCUGUCUAGCUCUUUACUUCCAUGAAGGCACCGCACCGUCUGAGCUAUUCAAGGAUCAGUAGUCUGAUAAAAAUUGAGAACCUCGUGGAUUGCUUGCUGGCUUCACCCUCAUAAUCAUCUUUCCGUAUUCGUUGAAUCAACACCAAGAAAUUACUAUCUAUGUAUUGGACGUCUGCAAAGCUGAACUUGUGAUGAAC